rnacentral:rRNA from 1 species
UAGGGAAUCUUCGGCAAUGGACGAAAGUCUGACCGAGCAACGCCGCGUGAGUGAAGAAGGUUUUCGGAUCGUAAAACUCUGUUGUUAGAGAAGAACAAGGACGUUAGUAACUGAACGUCCCCUGACGGUAUCUAACCAGAAAGCCACGGCUAACUACGUGCCAGCAGCCGCGGUAAUACGUAGGUGGCAAGCGUUGUCCGGAUUUAUUGGGCAUAAAGCGAGCGCAGGCGGUUUCUUAAGUCUGAUGUGAAAGCCCCCGGCUCAACCGGGGAGGGUCAUUGGAAACUGGGAGACUUGAGUGCAGAAGAGGAGAGUGGAAUUCCAUGUGUAGCGGUGAAAUGCGUAGAUAUAUGGAGGAACACCAGUGGCGAAGGCGGCUCUCUGGUCUGUAACUGACGCUGAUGCUCGAAAGCGUGGGGAGCAAACAGG